rnacentral:tRNA from 1 species
AAAUAGAAAGUAAAAUUUACAUUUAGUUUCGACCUAAAAAUGUGGCACCGUGUGCCUCUAUUUA